rnacentral:misc_RNA from 1 species
UCCGGUUUGUCACCGGCGGUCUCCUUAGAGUUCCCACCAUUACGUGCUGGCAACUAAGGACAAGGGUUGCGCUCGUUGCGGGACUUAACCCAACAUCUCACGACACGAGCUGACGACGGCCAUGCAGCACCUGUCACCAGGCUCCCGAAGGCACUCUCACGUUUCUGCGAGAUUCCUGGGAUGUCAAGCCUCGGUAAGGUUUUUCGCUUAGCAUCGAAUUAAACC